rnacentral:rRNA from 1 species
UUCCGGUUGAUCCUGCCGGACCUGACUGCUAUCGGAUUGAUACUAAGCCAUGUGAGUCAUUGUAGCAAUACAAGGCAGACGGCUCAGUAACACGUAGCCAAUCUAACCUAUGGACGGGGAUAACCUCGGGAAACUGAGGAUAAACCCCGAUAGAUCAUUAUGCCUGGAACGGUUUAUGGUCCAAAUGAUUCGUCGCCAUAGGAUGAGACUGCGGCCUAUCAGCUUGUUGGUGAGGUAAUGGCCCACCAAGGCUAUUACAGGUACGGGCUCUGAGAGGAGAAGCCCGGAGAUGGGUACUGAGACACGGACCCAGGCCCUAUGGGGCGCAGCAGGCGAGAAACCUUUGCAAUGUGCGCAAGCACGACAAGGUUAAUCCGAGUGAUUCCUGCUAAAGGAAUCUUUUGUUAGUCUUAAAAUCACUAUUGAAUAAGGGGUGGGCAAGUUCUGGUGUCAGCCGCCGCGGUAAAACCAGCACCUCAAGUGGUCAGGAGGAUUAUUGGGCCUAAAGCAUCCGUAGCCUGCUCUAUAAGUUUCCGGUUAAAUCCAUUUGCUCAACAAAUGGGCUGCCGAAAAUACUGUAGAACUAGGGAGUGGGAGAGGUAGACGGUACUCGGUAGGAAGGGGUAAAAUCCUUUGAUCUAUUGAUGACCACCUGUGGCGAAGGCGGUCUACCAGAACACGUUCGACGGUGAGGGAUGAAAGCUGGGGGGGCAAACCGGAUUAGAUACCCGGGUAGUCCCAGCUGUAAACGAUGCAGACUCGGUGAUGCGCUGGCUUGUGGCCAGUGCAGUGCCGCAGGAAGCCGUUAAGUUUGCCGCCUGGGAAGUACGUACGCAAGUAUGAAACUUAAAAGGAAUUGGCGGGGGAGCACCACAAGGGGUGAAGCCUGCGGUUCAAUUGGAGUCAACGCCGGA